rnacentral:rRNA from 1 species
CGCUGGCGGCACGCCUAACACAUGCAAGUCGAACGAGGUAGCAAUACCAAGUGGCAGACGGGUGCGUAACAUGUGGGAAUCUGCCUUUUGGUUCGGAACAACAUGGGGAAACCUGUGCUAAUACCGGAUAAGUCCUAACGGAGAAAGUUUUAACGCCGAAAGAUGAGCCCGCAUUUGAUUAGCUUGUUGGUGAGGUAAAAGCUCACCAAGGCAAUGAUCAAUAGCUGAUUUGAGAGGAUGAUCAGCCACACUGGGACUGAGACACGGCCCAGACUCCUACGGGAGGCAGCAGUGGGGAAUCUUGCACAAUGGAGGAAACUCUGAUGCAGCGAUGCCGCGUGAGUGAAGAAGGCCUUUGGGUUGUAAAGCUCUUUUGUCGGGAAAGAUAAUGACUGUACCCGAAGAAUAAGGUCCGGCUAACUUCGUGCCAGCAGCCGCGGUAAUACGAAGGGACCUAGCGUAGUUCGGAAUUACUGGGCGUAAAGCGCGCGUAGGCGGUUAUGUAAGUUAAUUGUGAAAGCCCAAAGCUCAACUUUGGAACUGCAAUUAAAACUAUUUAGCUAGAGUUUGAUAGAGGAAAGCGGAAUACAUAGUGUAGAGGUGAAAUUCGUAGAUAUUAUGUAGAACACCAGUUGCGAAGGCGGCUUUCUGGAUCAUUACUGACGCUGAGGUGCGAAAGUAUGGGUAGCGAAGAGGAUUAGAUACCCUCGUAGUCCAUACUGUAAACAAUGAUUGUUAGAUGUAAGAAAUUUAUUUUUUGUAUCACAGCUAACGCGUUAAACAAUCCGCCUGGGGAGUACGACCGC